UUCAUGAGCACGAGAUGAGGUGCUUUUCUCUAGCUAAGCGGCCUAGAGCCACUCAGAGGCAAGGGUUUGGACUCUGACUUUUGUCCCUUCAGACAUCUGAAGCUUCCAGGAAGUAUGUGAGCUAAGGUUUUAGGACACCCAGCUCUGUCCCGAGGAAGGUAGCUCUGUGCUGAACACCAGGAGUGAACGCAAAUCAAAAUCAGUUUCCUCUCAGACACCUCCUAGACAAGAAUGGAAGGAGUUGGCACAACAUGAAACCUGGAUCCAUAAAUACAGUUGC
rnacentral:lncRNA from 1 species